rnacentral:snoRNA from 1 species
GCCCGGAGUUAGGAAAACCUGAAUUUAGAUACAGGCUCAGACAUUUACUAACUAUGGGACCUUGGGUAAGUCACUUAACUUCUGUUUGCCUCAGUUUCCUGAACUGUAAAGUGGGGAUAAUAAUAUCGCCCACUUCCCAGGGUUGUUGUGAGGAUCAAAU